rnacentral:lncRNA from 1 species
CGUCCGACCACCAGUUGUGAGCCGCUGAAUAUCUUUACGAACUCGAGCUCGAGGCAAAGGGCUAGCUCAAGAGCGAUAACGACGGCCUCAUACUCGGCCUCGUUGUUGGUUGCUUCAAACUCGAACCUGAGAGCGCAUUGGAUCUCUGUUUGUUUGUCAGGGCUGAUGAUGAUGACCCCUGCGCCCGAGCCCGAGGAGUUCGAUGCUCCAUCCACAAAUAUUUGCCAAGUGUCCAAAUUAGUGCUCAUGCUAGAGCUGUCACCUGGCCCCUGAGGCCUAGGGGUUAGUUUUGCAAUGAAGCCGACUAGAGCUUGGGCUUUGAUAGAUGGGCGUGGUUUGAAUUCUAUGUCAAAUUCUCCAAGCUCGAUUGCCCAUUUCAUUAGUCUUCCCGAUACGUCCGGCUUCUGAAGUAUAUGCCUAAGUGGUUGAUUAGUGAGUACCACAAUAGGGUGAGACUGAAAAUACUGUCGGAGUUUCCGUGCUGCUAUAACCAAGGCAAGGGCAAGUUGUUCCGCCAAAGUAUACCUUGUUUCCGCAUCCAGUAGGACCUUGCUUACAUAGUAGAUAGGUUGCUGGACUUUGUUAACCUCUUUCACCAAGACCCCGCUGACUGCGUUUUGAGAUACGGCCAAGUACAAAAAUAAGGUGUCACCAGGCUCAGGCCUAGUGAGAAUAGGAGGAGAUGCCAAUGUCUGCUUGAGCUCCUGAAAAGCUUUCUCACAGUCUUUACUCCAAUCGAAGCCUUGGUUUCCUCUGAGGACUUUGAAGAAGGGAUAGCACCUGUCUGAUGCUCGGGACAUGAACCUGUUCAAGGCUGCUAUCCUACCUGUCAACCUCUGUACCUCUUUCUUGUUCCUCGGUGAUCCAUAGACGCCAAGGCUUGUAUUUUGUCAGGGUUGGCCUCUAUCCCCCGGUGAGUGAUCAUAAAGCCCAAGAACUUGCCCGAGGCCACACCAAAUGCACAUUUUGCGGGGUUCAAUUUCAUUUCGUACUUUCGCAAUGUGUCGAAAACCUCUUCAAGAUCUGAAAUAUGCUGGUCCACCUGUUUGCUCUUGACCACCAUGUCAUCAACGUACGCCUCCACGUUCCUUCCAAUCAAGUUAGCAAAGACUUUGUUGAUGAGUCUUUGGUAUGUUGCCCCUGCAUUCUUCAAACCGAAAGGCAUGACCUUAUAACAGUAUAUGGCGGAAUCGGCCAUGAAUGAUGUCUUUUCUUGAUCUUCCUCGGCCAUGAGGAUUUGAUGAUAACCAGAAAAUGCUUCCAAGAAGCUGUACAACUUAUGUCCGGACGUGCUAUCCACCAAGUUGUCAAUCCGUGGUAGGGGAUAACUAUCCUUUGGGCAUGCUUUGUUAAGAUCUGUGAAGUCAAUGCAGACCCUCCACUUAUCAUUGGCCUUCUUUACUAAAACAGCAUUGGCAAGCCAAUCGGGAUAUUGGACCUCCCGAAUGAACUAAGCACUUACGAGUUUGUUAAUUUCUUCGCGAAUGACCUCCCGGCGUUCCGGGGCAAACUGUCUUUUC